UUUUAGCACCCACUGCGCCACAUCGCCUCAAAUCACCCGGAUGCAAUAGUGGGGAGGAUGAAGACGAUGAUGGUAAAGAAGCAUCUAUGUCAGGAGUUUGUAAACCAUUCCAACCGCAUCCAGAAUCGCUGCUGUAAAAGUACUCAGGUAAGUCAUCAGUGCUCGUAGAGUCACUGCUGCUGUUGGUACCGCAUGAACUUUCAUCAGAGUGGCUACUGAAAAGUGAGGAGCUAUCGCUGGUUAAGUCCUCUUCCAAAAGCUUCUGAAGCUGGUGGAAUUUUCGAUAAAAAGAACUGAUAUUUGAAGGAUCAUUUGAUGAAUUGUUGUUCAUAUUUAGGUUCUGGGAAUCGGGAUAUGUGGAGUUGGGGCUUGAUUUAGAUGAGCUACUCGUCCCAUUUAUCAAAGAUGAAAUCAAUCGGUUUCUGGAAUCAGUCGUAAUUUUGUUUCUUAUCAACCUUGGGGCCCUAGGUGAGCAUCUGCAAGGUUACCUGUCGUCAAAUAAUGAAAGAAUCGAAACGAUAAUUCACCGAGAUAAAAUCAUUUGAGCCCCAAAGUUUACCUUGCAUAAAAGAGCAUGUAUGCUCCUCUUGUUAGUACAUUUUUGACAUCCAUAGCUGUUACCUACCCGACCAUAAAAAAACGAAAGUCACAUCUCUGAAAAUAGCAUUCAUGUGAAUUUAAUUCAAAGAAGCAAUCCGAAGAUAAAAUUUUGCUUAGAAGUUGAUAAUGGAUCGACUGCUAAUUACUAGAACAAAGUUGAACGAACAAUAUCAGUCAUUGGGAGAGAGAAAACGUAAGAUAUUUAGUGUUAGUGCAAAUAGAUUAUUCUCUUAUGUUAAGAAGAACGACCCUCCAUAGAUCUCCACUUAAAGCAAAGCUCUCAUAACUUCACUUUUUGUUUCACCCAAAAUGCCUCUUAUCAAUUGAUGAAUUAACACUCAGAUAAUCUUGAUUUUUUUCUUAUCUAGUCAACGUUAGAACUUUAGACAGACCCCCAACAAUCCUUCCUUCGUACAAAACACCUCUGAAUUUUUUUAUCAAUAAUCAUCUUCCUAUCUAGCUCUUAUCUACCCUAACUCCUCUCCUUUUCUACAAGUUACAACGGUUGAAGAUUAUACUUACACUAUAAACAAGAGGCAUGAUUCGGGUACCACUUGUUCGAGACAACUCUCCACAUAUGGUAUGUCUACUUUGGACAUAAAGUCCUCGUGAUUAUUUUUUUUUCACUGAAAAGUCUUCUACCAAUAGAGAUAUUGUCUCUCACUUACAUAUUUCCUCUUAUCUUGCUAAUGUUGAGUGAAGCAUUAUUAAAGAGUGUACAUAAAGAAAGUUAGAAGAUUAAUGAAGAAAAUGACCUAGGAUUGUCAACAUACUAAAAACAGAACCAGGAAUAAUGGAAUUUGAUAACAUACCGUGCUGUCAUCAACCUUGAACCACUUGUUUUGAUUAUUCCUGAUAUAGCACACGUAGUGACCGGAAAAUGCGGCAUUCAUGACAUCCAAAUGAACAAUCACUCCAUAAAGCCUGUAUACAGGCGACUUAUCACUUCUGCUACUCAUAUAGGGUGCCAGAUCUAGGAUUUCCGAAAAAAUAACCGGCUUAUUGAGCUUCCCAAAUUUUCCUGACUAAAUUGGAUAAACAAACAUAAAGAAAUAAGAGAAAGAAAAGCUCUAAAUUCUAUCUAAAUAUGCAAUUAAAUUAACGGCAAUCAAUGAUUUGAAGGAAAACCUGGAAACGUUUUAAUGCAAUGGUCAGGAUGUUGGGAGCCUCCAAUAUUGACAACCUUUUUCUGGCUUUCACGUAAGAAUUGCAUCUGAAUGAGAUCGGAUCACAAAUACAUCUAAUUAGGAAAGAAACAAUAGGAUGGAAUGGAGCAAAUGUAAACAAAAAAAAAAGGAAAACAAGAAGAAUUGAGAAAAACUGAGUAGAAGCGACUGCCAAGAGACGCUCCCCCUUAUGUACAAGUAAUAGUAGUAUUAAUAAUAAUAAUAAUAAACCUAUUGACCUGGUACAAUGGUAUCUAUUGUCCCCGUCUAAAAUCUCAGGGCUUGUAUAUUGUUGAAGAGCCUCUUCGAUUGUUUCAAUAUCCCCACUUAUCUCAACAGUAAGAUCUAAAAUCCUUUCAAUUCGUUCAGACUUGUUCUCACACCUUGUGCAUUUGAUCUGCAAGUGAAGUAUGUUGAUCGAAAGCAUUAGUAUUCGCACAACAUGAUCAACUCCUUACAGGCUUCUUAGAUAGAAAGGAACAGUUCUAACGAGUGUGUUAUAGCAACAUGGGUUUAUAGAACAAAAUUUCUGUGUAACUGAUAUUCUGGAUAACCUUAGCUGAUAAAAGGAAAUCUUGUAUCACCUUUGAUAGAAGGUAGCCUCCAAAUGUAAGGCCUAUCAGAGUUGUUUCCUCUUCUACAGGGCCUGAUCGACUUGCUUGAGCUUCCAUAAAGCAAAUAGAUUGCAUUGUGUCAAUAGCACACCUGUCAAACUAACUCAUUAAUCCUUCAGUGCACAGUUCUUUGGAAAGUAACAAUAAAUAAGAUAAAAUAAAGAUUGGAGAUGAGCAAUAGUUUUCUUUAAAUAAAACCUCAAAAACUCGUGUGCAUCCUCCUCUUUCCCGUUAACAAGUUGACUUCCAAUUUUUCUAAGUUGAGAAAUUAUUCUGAAAGGAGAUAGUGGAGAUUUGCCUUCUUUUGCCUCGAGUAUUAGACUUUCAAACUCACAGGUAAAACACCAUCUCUCCUUUGCACCUAAUAUGCAAAAACAGAAACAAAAGGUUUUAAGCCAUAUAAAUCUAAAGCUACUAAAAUAAAAUAGAAUAUAAUAUAAGGGGAUAAAAAGUGGCACUGUAUACAUGCUUUAGAAUGCAGUCCCUGAAGAAAAUAGGCGGUCAAAGGAGGAGUGAAUGUCAAACACUGGAGUACAACAUUUGCAUAACAGCUGCAUAAAGUCAAAAUAAGAGUUACUUGUCUUAAAAGCAUGAGAUAACUGCACCACGAAGAAACCAAAAAGUAUAAAGAAAAACACAUGAAGAUUUAUUUAAAAAAGAAAAUUGCACAUACAUUUUGCACAUUCAUCUUUAAACAGCAGGAGCUAAAUUAGACAGCUUAAAUCGCUGUAAUGAACCUAGAAGACAUAGAAUACACCUCACGCUUGCGACCCUACUUUUGUAAUUACAGAAAGAAAAAUGAGCACAGAAACUAUAAUGACCUGUUUCCGCAGUUGACAAGGCCAGAUGGUUGGAGCUCCACUUUAUUCCAAUUAUAUAAAUUGACAAAAAGCUCAUACAGAGAGUCUUCCUGUAUAAAACAUCAUUAUUCAAGUUACCAACCAAACCAAAAUCCAAUCAGACAAAAAAUAAACGAGUAACCAACCUUAUUAUUGCACUUCCCAGCAUUCCCACCGCCAUUAGCUACAUAACCGCGAUGUGAUUUAGAUCUUUUAAGCUCAUUGGGAGCAAAAGGUCUAAAGCCAUAAGCCGACUUGGAUGAAAAGUUAGCAUCCAGAGAAGAAACGCCAGCACUAACUUGUGUGGUACCAAUUUUUCUAGAAUCAGUUGGAGGAACUGGUUCCCUUCCAUUACUUGGAGGCAAAUGAACACUCGAACCAUCCACUAAAGACCCAUUUCCACUAUGCUUUGAAAUACUUGAAGUGGUACCAGGCUCAAUGAAAACAGAGCCCAACCUUUCAGACUUCGUGGGUAUUGACAUACUAAUAUUUGAAUCACGAAUACUCCUUGAUUCAAAUUUAGAAGCAACAGGAAAUGGAUUGAUAAAAGAGGAAGAAGAUGACACUGAAUUAACUACACAGUGAUUUGGCAAUCCCUUAGCGGUGUUAACUUUAUCUUGGGACCCUUUACAACUUGAUGGGGAAUUUCUAACCUUUAAAGAUUCAGUAUUGAUAUCUAAUAGCAAAGAAGAUUCAACUGUUCUGUUCAUACCCGAAGUAGUAGGAAGAUUACCAUCUGCCACAUGUUCAUUUACUUCAGCAACUUGUGCAUUGGACUGAGAAGUAACUCCAGGUAAGCUAAAUGAAAAGUGUAGCAACGAGUGACCUUCAGAAAAGUUUCUGUUGUUGGCACCAUUACUAUUGGAUGGGACAGAAUCUUCACGAACAUCACCUUUUGCUCCAACAAAUUUUCCAUUAUUUUCUUCAGAAUUGGAAGGAGUAACUUCGCCACUCCCAGCUACACUUCUAACUUUAGCAGCCUUUAAAGGGAUAUUAUAUUCUGGACCAAUCCUAUUGAAUACCAGUUGACUUUCUGUUUUCAGUUUAGCAUAUAUAUCGACAGAGUUUACCAAGUGAGCAUUGUUGGAAGAUAAUGGCUUGUUUGGAUCAUGAUCAACAUUCAACACUUUGGAUGUAGCACCAUCCAUGUCAAAUGAAUUUUCAGCAGACAAAUAUCCAUCUGAUCUUGGGGAACCAGACUCGCUAUUGUUUUCACUCACAGAUGCAUCAUCAGAUGAUUCAAUGUCUAAUGCGGAAGUGUGGAAUUCAUAUGAAGUGGUAUCAGGCAAUUUUGGCGUUGAGUUUUCCUCCUCAUCUGCAUGCAGUUUCACACUAAUAUCGUUUUGACUUGGAACACUAGAGUAUCCAGAGUCUGGUGAUGCAUGUUUAGCAAACAAGAUUUUAUCUGGUUCUACAUGCUCCCCAUUGUCAGUAUCAAAGUUUUUGUCAUAGCUUCCAGAGUGGUUUUGGUUUUCUAAAUUGUCCUUUGGAUCAUUUUCCUUCUCCAAAGACCAAUCAAGUGUUUUCGGUGGUUGGCAUUCGUUUUUAUGUCCUUGUCGCCAAUGAAUAAUUUGACAUCUACCAGAACUGAAGGUCAAAAUGGCAACAUAAAGAAAUCAUUGAAGGAAGUAUCAGCAUGGAUAGAAUUAUCUUGUAUCAAACAUGUUAGUGCUAUUAUCUGGCAACAUACUAGCCCAUGAUUUUUUUCAAACAGAACACACAAAAAAAUGGCCCGUAAGCAUGCUUGAGACAAUUGGACCGUGGUACACACUCUAUAAGUUUGCAAUGUGAAUGAGGAAUAAGAUUUUCCAGAUUACAGAUACUAUAGCCUAAAAAUCCACAUGCAUACACCAUCAGAAAGAUCUGAUGUUUAAGGAUGACGUUUUAUGCUUAUUAAUAUAAAAGUAAUGGGAAAUAUUUAUUUUCCAAACUGUUCUAGAGAAUUAAGAAGAUUUAUAUUUCUCCUCCCUCUUAUGAAAGUACUUAUUAUCUCCUCCUCUCACUAAUUACCAAUUCAUCGUUACAGAAGUUGCUCCAGAAACCCAUCAACAAACAUACAUCCGUGGAAGGUUUGAGCAUUGUCAAAAAGUACAAAUGGGUUUUCUCAACUCUCCAUAGAUGUUCAAGUUCAGUAUCAUCUGUCAACUUUUCACAUCACGUCUCAAUCAAGACUGAAGUACAAC
rnacentral:lncRNA from 1 species